UGACCUCGGAUCAGGUAGGGAUACC
rnacentral:rRNA from 9 species